rnacentral:rRNA from 1 species
AUUGAACGCUGGCGGCAUGCCUUACACAUGCAAGUCGAACGGCAGCAUGAUCUAGCUUGCUAGAUUGAUGGCGAGUGGCGAACGGGUGAGUAAUACAUCGGAACGUGCCCUGUUGUGGGGGAUAACUAGUCGAUAGAUUAGCUAAUACCGCAUACGACCUGAGGGUGAAAGUGGGGGACCGCCAGGCCUCAUGCUAUAGGCGUGGCCGAUGUCUGAUUACCUAGUUGGUGAGGUAAAGGCUCACCAAGGCGACGAUCAGUAGCUGGUCUCAGAGGACGAUCAGCCACACUGUGACUGAAACACGUCCUGGACUCCUACGGAGGGCAGCAGUGGGGAAUUUUGGACAAUGGACGAAAGCCUGAUCCAGCAAUGCCGCGUGUGUGAAGAAGGCCUUCGGGUUGUAAAGCACUUUUGUCCGGGAAGAAAUGGCUCUGGUUAAUACCUGGGGUCGAUGACGGUACCGGAAGAAUAAGGACCGGCUAACUACGUG